rnacentral:lncRNA from 1 species
GUUAUCAGCCAGGGCAGGACAGCUCCUCAAUCAGGCAAAAUUCCUAUGUUCCAGAGCUCAGCGUUGCCAUUUACUGAGCGACCAUGGCAUUAGUCACGCUGUCCCUCUGCAUCUCUGGCUCCUUGUACCCAGGAUAGGGGUCACAAUCACGCCUUCCCCCUGUGGUGCUGGUGAAGAUACAUGGAGCACAGAGCCUGAUGCCAACGGGAGGCAAACCCACUCUACCCACAAGAGGACCAAGGUUGCUGGUGGAAGAAAGUAGCCAACAGAAUGGGAGCGAGAGAAACGCUGUUUGAAUCCAUACCAACAGUCUGAAAGUGCUUCUGUCUCCACGUCUCUGGGGCUCUGUUUGCAUGAAGAGGAAAAAAAGUCUUCAUGCACACACACAGCCCAGAAAGCAUCCAGUUGCUCCCGGGCCGCCUGCCAGCAAUUGAGUGACCUGCAGCUUCCUCCCCAAAUCACAUUCCACUGGCACGGAUCUUGCCCCGCCUGACGCCAGCCUCCGAACUCGCCCCCAGAGCAAACAUUUCCAGUUGGCAGCCUGGCCUUGUUUUUCUGAGGCCCUAAUUCAGUCUCCCUUGUAGAAAACAGAAAACAAAAUGUGUGGGACCAAAAACUGCAACAAAAUAAACUUUUAGAACGA